rnacentral:rRNA from 1 species
CACGUAGGGGCCGAGCGUUGUCCGGAUUCAUUGGGCGUAAAGCGCGCGUAGGCGGCUCGGAAAGUCGGUCGUGAAAUGCCGGGGCUCAACCCCGGGACUGCGUCCGAUACUCCCGAGCUGGAGGCAGGUAGGGGAGAUCGGAAUUCCUGGUGUAGCGGUGAAAUGCGCAGAUAUCAGGAGGAACACCGGUGGCGAAGGCGGAUCUCUGGGCCUUGCCUGACGCUGAGGCGCGAAAGCUAGGGGAGCGAACAGG